GAAGAGAUGGCUGAGUGGUCGAAAGCGUCUUCUCCCUAAGAAGGUGACCCGCCAGCGAAGGUCCGAGGGUUCGAAUCCCUCUCUCCG
rnacentral:tRNA from 1 species